AUACGUAUGGUGCAAGCGUUAUCCGGAUUUACUGGGUGUAAAGGGAGCGCAGGCGGCGCGGCAAGUCUGAUGUGAAAGCCCGGGGCUCAACCCCGGUACUGCAUUGGAAACUGUCGUGCUAGAGUGUCGGAGGGGUAAGCGGAAUUCCUAGUGUAGCGGUGAAAUGCAUAGAUAUCACUUGGAACCCCGAUAGCGAAGGCAGCUUCCCAGGCUCGUUCUGACGCUGGUGCGCGAGAGCGUGGGUAGC
rnacentral:rRNA from 1 species